rnacentral:rRNA from 1 species
UACAGAGGUCUCAAGCGUUGUUCGGAUUCAUUGGGCGUAAAGGGUGCGUAGGCGGCGCGGUAAGUCGGGGUGUGAAAUCUCGGAGCUUAACUCCGAAACUGCAUUCGAUACUGCCGUGCUUGAGGACUGGAGAGGAGACUGGAAUUUACGGUGUAGCGGUGAAGUGCGUAGAUAUCGUAAGGAAGACCAGUGGCGAAGGCGGGUCUCUGGACAGUUCCUGACGCUGAGGCACGAAGGUCAGGGGGAGC